AUACGUAGGUUGCAAGCGUUGUCCGGAGUUUACUGGGUGUAAAGGGCGUGUAGGCGGAGAUGCAAGUCGGGAGUGAAAUCCAUGGGCUCAACCCAUGAACUGCUUUCGAAACUGUAUCCCUUGAGUAUCGGAGAGGCAAGCGGAAUUCCUAGUGUAGCGGUGAAAUGCGUAGAUAUUAGGAGGAACACCAGUGGCGAAGGCGGCUUGCUGGACGACAACUGACGCUGAGGCGCGAAAGCGUGGGGAGGC
rnacentral:rRNA from 1 species